UACGGAGGGUGCAAGCGUUAUCCGGAUUCACUGGGUUUAAAGGGCGCGCAGGCGGAUUUGUAAGUCAGUGGUGAAAGGCUUAAGCUUAACUUGGGAACUGCCAUUGAUACUAUAAGUCUUGAAUGUUGUUGAGGUUUGCGGAAUGGGUCAUGUAGCGGUGAAAUGCAUAGAUAUGACGCAGAACACCAAUUGCGAAGGCAGCUUGCUACACUACUAUUGACACUGAGGCACGAAAGCGUGGGGAUCAAACAGG
rnacentral:rRNA from 1 species